rnacentral:misc_RNA from 1 species
UCCCCUUUAAGAGUGAGCACGGAAAUCGGAGAAGUGUAAUCGGAAGGAAGCAUUCAUACCUUUUUCUGGGAAGUAUGGCGAACUGGUCGGAAUUUCCAUUGGAACUACUUGAAAUGAUAGCAAAGCGUGUUACAGUGAUGGAGGAUUUCAUUAGAUUUGGUGUUGUUUGUAAAUCAUGGGGAAGUGCUGCUACCAAAGAAAAUUUUGAUGUUUUAGUGCCACAAGUUCCAUUGCUUAUGCUGGCUGCUAAAGGGGAUGAUGAUUAUCGAGAAUUCUACUCUCUUUCCAAGAGGAAAAUUUCUCGCAGAAUUUUCCUCCCAGAAGCUAGAGGGAAACUCUGUUUACCAACACAGGGAUGGCUUUUCACGGUGAACUAUAGAGCAUUUACAGGAGAGAUGACUUUGUUGCACCCUUUCUCACGCGUCCAAAUUCAGCUUCCUCCGCCUACUGGCUUGAGAGAUGAGGAAUCAAAACGUCCCUACGUGACUAUCAACCAUGUUGUAUUAUCUGCUAGCCCAUCCGUAACAACUGACUAUGUUCUGAUAAUUUGCUAUGGA